UUGGGCUAGUCUGGGGGAGAGUAGCCAGCACGGGGGCGCGCCCAGGAGAGCAAGAACGCGAUGUGAGGCGGAGCGGAGCAGAGUUCAGCCUUGCCAACACUUACUGGAGUGUCCGGGAACUACUUUAACUACAGAACGGACGUAUCAACGUGUCAACUUUGCGCUUAUCGGAAAACUUUUGACUCGGUCUUUCCCAUGGGAAUACUUCUGUGAACACUUACGCCAGCCAAUCAGAAGAGGCCAUGCUGAAACCUGUUGCUGAUCAGUGACCCCGCCCUCCCCUUCCCUUGAGAGAGAGGGAUAGAGAGAGAGAGAAGGAUAGAGAGAAGGAUGGGGAGAGGGGUGUAGGGAUGAGAGAGAGAAUGGUUGAGAUGCCCUUAUUCACAUAUAGAAAGAGAAAGAGA